rnacentral:rRNA from 1 species
GGGGAAUUUUCCGCAAUGGGCGAAAGCCUGACGGAGCAAUACCGCGUGAGGGAUGACGGCCUAUGGGUUGUAAACCUCUUUUUUCAGGGAGGAAUCAAUGACGUGUACCUGAAGAAUAAGCAUCGGCUAACUCCGUGCCAGCAGCCGCGGUAAGACGGAGGAUGCAAGUGUUAUCCGGAAUCACUGGGCGUAAAGCGUCUGUAGGUGGUUUAAUAAGUCAACUGUUAAAUCUUGAGGCUCAACUUCAAAAUCGCAGUCGAAACUAUUAGACUAGAGUAUAGUAGGGGUAAAGGGAAUUUCCAGUGGAGCGGUGAAAUGCGUAGAGAUUGGAAAGAACACCGAUGGCGAAGGCACUUUACUGGGCUAUUACUAACACUCAGAGACGAAAGCUAGGGUAGCAAAUGGGAUUAGAUACCCCAGUAGUC